GUCCUCUGGUUGAGUGUUGGAGGUCUGACCUGCCCGGUGAUGUUAUUUAACGGCCGCGGUAUUUUGACCGUGCAAAGGUAGCAUAAUAAUUAGUCUUUUAAUUGAGGGCUUGAAUGAAUGGUUGGACGAGGAAGUAGCUGUCUCAAAUUGAAUAAGUAUGAAUUUUACUUUUUGGUGAAAAGGCCUGAAUUUAUUAGGGGGACGAUAAGACCCUAUAGAUCUUUAUAUAUUAUUUUUGAAUAGGUUUUUGGUUUGUUGAAAUUAUUUGGUUUUGGUGUAUUUUGCUGGGGCGGCAGGGAGAUUAGUGUAACUCUUUUAAUUUAUUGUUCAUUUAUUUAUGUGGUUUGUUGAUCCAUUAGUUGUGAUUUCAGGAUUAAGAUACCUUAGGGAUAACAGCGUAAUCUUUUUUGAGAGUUCUUAUCGACGAAGGGGGUUGCGACCUCGAUGUUGGAUUAGGAUUUAAUUUGGGGUGUAGAAGCUCUAAUGUUUGAGUCUGUUCGACUAUUAAAAUCCUACA
rnacentral:rRNA from 1 species